rnacentral:rRNA from 1 species
GAUGAACGCUGGCGGCGUGCUUAACACAUGCAAGUCGAACGGUGAAGCAGGAGCUUGCUCUUGUGGAUCAGUGGCGAACGGGUGAGUAACACGUGAGCAACCUGCCCCUGACUCUGGGAUAAGCGCUGGAAGCGGCGUCUAAUACUGGAUAUGUGAUGUGACCGCAUGGUCUGCAUCUGGAAAGAAUUUCGGUUGGGGAUGGGCUCGCGGCCUAUCAGCUUGUUGGUGAGGUAAUGGCUCACCAAGGCGUCGACGGGUAGCCGGCCUGAGAGGGUGACCGGCCACACUGGGACUGAGACACGGCCCAGACUCCUACGGGAGGCAGCAGUGGGGAAUAUUGCACAAUGGGCGGAAGCCUGAUGCAGCAACGCCGCGUGAGGGAUGACGGCCUUCGGGUUGUAAACCUCUUCUAGCAGGGAAGAAGCGAAAGUGACGGUACCUGCAGAAAAAGCACCGGCUAACUACGUGCCAGCCGCCGCAGUAA